GCUACGGGCGGCAGCAGUGAGGAAUAUUGGUCAAUGGGCGGGAGCCUGAACCAGCCAAGUCGCGGGAGGGAAGACGGCCCUAUGGAUUGUAAACCUCUUUAGGCAGGGAGCAAUGCCGGGCACGCGUGCCCGGAGGGAGAGUACCCGCAGAAUAAGCAUCGGCUAACUCCGUGUCAGCAGCCGCGGUAAUACGGAGGAUGCGAGCGUUAUCCGGAUUGAUUGGGUUUAAAGGGUGCGUAGGCGGAUUUUUAAGUCAGCGGUAAUAUGGUCGGGCUAAACCCGGGCCGGCCGUUGCAACUGGGGAUCUUGAGUGGGCGAGAAGUAUGCGGAAUGCGUGGUGUAGCGGUG
rnacentral:rRNA from 1 species